rnacentral:rRNA from 1 species
AUUGAACGCUGGCGGCAUGCCUUACACAUGCAAGUCGAACGGUAACGCGGGGCAACCUGGCGACGAGUGGCGAACGGGUGAGUAACGCAUCGGAACGUGCCCAGUAGUGGGGGAUAGCCCGGCGAAAGCCGGAUUAAUACCGCAUACGACCUACGGGUGAAAGGGGGGAUCGCAAGACCUCUCGCUAUUGGAGCGGCCGAUGUCAGAUUAGGUAGUUGGUGGGGUAAAGGCCUACCAAGCCUACGAUCUGUAGCUGGUCUGAGAGGACGACCAGCCACACUGGGACUGAGACACGGCCCAGACUCCUACGGGAGGCAGCAGUGGGGAAUUUUGGACAAUGGGCGCAAGCCUGAUCCAGCCAUGCCGCGUGCGGGAAGAAGGCCUUCGGGUUGUAAACCGCUUUUGUCAGGGAAGAAACGCUCUGGACUAAUAAUCUGGGGUAAUGACGGUACCUGAAGAAUAAGCACCGGCUAACUACGUGCCAGCAGCCGCCGUAA